rnacentral:rRNA from 1 species
AGCAGCCGCGGUAAUUCCAGCUCCAAUAGCGUAUAUUAAAGUUGUUGCAGUUAAAAAGCUCGUAGUUGAACUUCGGGGUUUACCCAUUGGUCAGGCUUAAUUGUCUGCACUGGUGAGAUAAAUCUCUACCUUCUGAGGAACUUUCAUGCCAUUUAUUGGUGUGAUUGGAAAUCAGGACUAUUACUUUGAAAAAUUAGAGUGUUUAAAGCAGGCUAACGUCUGAAUAUAUUAGCAUGGAAUAAUGAAAUAGGACGGCUUGGUUCUAUUUCGUUGGUUUCUAGGAUCACCGUAAUGAUUAAUAGGGAUAGUUGGGGGCAUUAGUAUUCAAUUGUCAGAGGUGAAAUUCUUGGAUUUAUUGAAGACUAACUACUGCGAAAGCAUUUGCCAAGGAUGUUUUCAUUAAUCAAGAACGAAAGUUAGGGGAUCGAAGACGAUCAGAUACCGUCGUAG